rnacentral:piRNA from 1 species
UGCUCUUAAUGAUGCCUCCUUGCC